rnacentral:rRNA from 1 species
AACGAACGCUGGCGGCAGGCUUAACACAUGCAAGUCGAGCGCCCCGCAAGGGGAGCGGCAGACGGGUGAGUAACGCGUGGGAAUCUACCCAUCUCUACGGAAUAACGCAUGGAAACGUGUGCUAAUACCGUAUACGUCCUUCGGGAGAAAGAUGUAUCGGAGAUGGAUGAGCCCGCGUUGGAUUAGCUAGUUGGUGGGGUAAAGGCCUACCAAGGCGACGAUCCACAGCUGGUCUGAGAGGAUGAUCAGCCACACUGGGACUGAGACACGGCCCAGAAUCCUACGGGAGGCAGCAGAGGGGAAGUUUGGACAAUGGGCGCAAGCCUGAUCCAGCCAUGCCGCGUGAGUGAUGAAGGCCCUAGGGUUGUAAAGCUCUUUCACCGGUGAAGAUAAUGACGGUAACCGGAGAAGAAGCCCCGGCUAACUUCGUGCCAGCCGCCGCCGUAAUAC